UUUUAUUAUUAUUAUUAUUAUGAGUACGAAUCCACUUGUUCAUCACCUUCCCAGAUCGAUCCCAGCUUUGUCAUCCACACGCACACGCACUCUUUUCCUUUUCCGACAAGGAAUUAAAGUUAAUCAAUGCAAGUAGUAAGUUUCUUCCCCUUCUCUACAAAAACAUGAAAAAACGUGACCCGACCCUUGUUUUCCAGGACAAACAACAAGCCUUCUCUCCCUCACAGCUGUCACUCUUCCGUACCCGUGAGCAACAGCGGUAGCGGUAGUUUACUCUUGAGCAGCAGGAGCCUACUCCUCCUUCAGCACCGUGAGUCAGCAGUAACCUCUCUCUGCUAGAAACGGCCAGUCCCUCCAUAGCAGUAGUACUGUAGCCUUAAAUUCCUAGCUACAUCAACAUCAACUACUUCUCUACAACCUCGAUAGCACAGUGAUCUCAGUUCAGGUUCAAGCUCUGCACCAGCUACACACGCUGCAGCAGCUCAUCUUCUCUGUUCAUCAACACAUCCCGUUAGCAAUUGGAAGAACCUGCAGCAGCAGCGAACCUCUCUGCACCAGCAACGUGAGCAGCUCCGGAGCAACAGUGGAAGACAUUUUUCAUCAGCAACCACUGCCCACCAUGACUUGUUGUCGUCCAGCAACUCCCUUCAAGUAACAGUAGCAGAUCGUGCAACAGCAGCAGCGUCACUCAACUUCUCCUGACACCAGUGGUGGAAGCUCCUCCUUCCAGCAGCGUCAUCUUCUCAGUACCGUGAACAAGCAGCAGGAGGAGGUUUUCCUUGUCAGCCUUCAGCGCCUCUCAUCCCCUCUGCGCCGGGAGCAGCAAUGGAGAAUCUUUUUCAUCAGCGGAAAAUCUUUCCUCAGCUUUGCAACAGCAGCAUUGUGAACAGCUAGAAACAGAAGAUUUAAUAAAAUAAAAACAGCAGAGGCUUCUCUUCUCAAUCACAGCAUCAGAAGUUAGGGAAACACAGGAGAAACAGAAAGAGAAGAAAAGGAAAAGGAGACUGGGUAGGUGUUUGUUCAAAGCAAGACACACCAUCCCUACUAAUAUAGAAAACAGUUUCUUACUUUAGAUAUUUUAUGAUGGAAAAUUCAUCAAAUAUGCAAAAGUUAGAAGGACGGGGGCAUGACUCUUGUUGUACGAGCUCAGAAGCUGAUGUUCCACGUCUACAUUUAACCAAAUCAUGGACAAGAACUGCAGUUCUGGCUGAAUGAUGCAUCAGCUUGGACCCAAUUCAUGCACUGCAGAGUUUAGGGCUUCAAACCACGUCAAGGAGAUAGAUGAACUUGCCAUGAACAACAAGGUGCAUUUUUUUAAGAUCCGGAGUAACGUAACGAGCAGCUUUCUACGAAAUGCAAGGAAUAAACAAGGGGAAUUUUCAUAUUUCAAGUCAUUUCGCUUAAAUUGAAUGGCCAAGCAUGUGGUUCCGCGCUCGUCAUGCUUCAGGCUUCCAGCAAAAUCUAAGGAACACAUCAAGGAAUGUCGCCUUUUCUAAUACCUACAAGUAGAAUACAUAGACAGAUUUGCACUAAAUGGGGAUCUCACAGUUGAGCUGGGUUCCCCUCCAUCAUUGUACAGCAUUUUCGUAUUAUGUACAAGAGUGCAGAGAUUUCAGAAAGCUUGGUCCGGGGCCCAUUACAACUUGAGCACUUGGAAUCAGGUUCAUCUUAUCUUUUUGAAACAUACACUGCAGCUGCAAAGAUGAAUCUGGCGAGGCG